CAGUAGCCACGGGAAUACGUAGGGUGCAAGCGUUAAUCGUAAUUACUGGGCGUAAAGCGUGCGCAGGCGGUUUUGUAAGACAGAGGUGAAAUCCCCGGGCUCAACCUGGGAACUGCCUUUGUGACUGCAAGGCUGGAGUGCGGCAGAGGGGGAUGGAAUUCCGCGUGUAGCAGUGAAAUGCGUAGAUAUGCGGAGGAACACCGAUGGCGAAGGCAGCCCCCUGGGCCAAUACUGACGCUCAUGCACGAAAGCGUGGGGAGCAAACAGGAUUAGAUACCCCAGUAGUCCCUGUCUCUUAUAC
rnacentral:rRNA from 1 species